rnacentral:rRNA from 2 species
GGCGAACGCUGGCGGCGUGCCUAACACAUGCAAGUCGAGCGGUCUAAGUAAGCAACCUAGUUGAAUACUUAGAUAGCGGCGGACGGGUGAGUAACGCGUGGGGAACCUGCCUUGUAGAGGGGGAUAGCCUCGGGAAACCGGGAUUAAUACCCCAUGAAGCUGAAAUACCGCAUGGUAUUUGAGUNAAAGCGAGAAAGCGCUACAAGAUGGUCCCGCGUCCCAUUAGCUAGUUGGUGAGAUAACAGCUCACCAAGGCGACGAUGGGUAGCCGACCUGAGAGGGUGAUCGGCCACAUUGGGACUGAGACACGGCCCAAACUCCUACGGGAGGCAGCAGUGGGGAAUAUUGCGCAAUGGGGGAAACCCUGACGCAGCAACGCCGCGUGAGCGAAGAAGGCCUUCGGGUCGUAAAGCUCUGUGAUAAGGGAAGAAGAAGUGACAGUACCUUAAGAGGAAGCCCGGCUAACUACGUGCAACAGCGGGGGGGAAA